rnacentral:rRNA from 1 species
GCCAGCCCGCUCAAGAAACUCAAAUGAAUUGACGGGGGCCCGCACAAGCGGAGGAGCAUGUGGUUUAAUUCGAUGAUACGCGAGGAACCUUACCUGGGCUCGAACGUAAGAUGACUGUAGGUGAAAGCUUACAUCUCUUCGGAGCAUUUUACGAGGUGCUGCAUGGUUGUCGUCAGCUCGUGCCGUGAGGUGUCGGGUUAAGUCCCAUAACGAGCGCAACCCCUACCUUUAGUUGCCAUCAGGUUAAGCUGGGGACUCUAAAGGAACUGCCUACGCAAGUAGUGAGGAAGGCGGGGAUGACGUCAAAUCAGCACGGCCCUUACGUCCAGGGCUACACACGUGCUACAAUGGCCGAUACAGAGGGCAGCUACCUGGUGACAGGAUGCAAAUCUCCAAAGUCGGUCUCAGUUCGGAUCGGAGUCUGCAACCCGACUCCGUGAAGUUGGAUUCGCUAGUAAUCGCGCAUCAGCCAUGGCGCGGUGAAUACGUUCCCGGGCCUU